AUGGCGACCGGCGCACGGGUGAGUAACACGUAUCCAACCUGCCGAUAACUCGGGGAUAGCCUUUCGAAAGAAAGAUUAAUACCCGAUGGCAUAAUUAGACCGCAUGGUCUUAUGAUUAAAGAAUUUCGGUUAUCGAUGGGGAUGCGUUCCAUUAGGCAGUUGGUGAGGUAACGGCUCACCAAACCUUCGAUGGAUAGGGGUUCUGAGAGGAAGGUCCCCCACAUUGGAACUGAGACACGGCCCAA
rnacentral:rRNA from 1 species